rnacentral:lncRNA from 1 species
CCAAUACCUAAAAAAAGAUUCAGAUAAACAUAAAAACAAGGACGAUAAUAUUGAAAUCUUGUUGAUUAUUUUUUUUUAUAUAUUUUAUAUAAUGUGUAUAGGCGCUUAAAAAAAUGAACGUAACUUGUCACGACAGACCCCUUAGCUUAGUGUUUGUCAAAAUACCUGUUGGACGUCAGAGCAAUUUUAGACUUCCCCAAAACCAG